GCGGGAAUGCCAGAGUGGUCAAAUGGGACGCGCUAAGGACGCGUUGGCUUAGUGCCUGCGAAGGUUCGAAUCCUUCUUCCCGCA
rnacentral:tRNA from 1 species